GUGCUCCCGUGGGUAGCACGUAUAUUAAAACUGGAAGGAUACAGAGAAGAUUAGCAUGGCCCCUGUGCAAGGGUGACACACAAAUUCAUGAAGCAUUCCAUAGUAAA
rnacentral:snRNA from 1 species